AGUGAACGCUGGCGGUAGGCCUAACACAUGCUAGUCGAACGGCAGCACAGUAAGAGCUUGCUCUUACGGGUGGCGAGUGGCGGACGGGUGAGGAAUACAUCGGAAUCUACUUUUUCGUGGGGGAUAACGUAGGGAAACUUACGCUAAUACCGCAUACGACCUACGGGUGAAAGCAGGGGAUCUUCGGACCUUGCGCGAUUGAAUGAGCCGAUGUCGGAUUAGCUAGUUGGCGGGGUAAAGGCCCACCAAGGCGACGAUCCGUAGCUGGUCUGAGAGGAUGAUCAGCCACACUGGAACUGAGACACGGUCCAGACUUCUACGGGAGGCAGCAGUGGGGAAUAUUGGACAAUGGGCGCAAGCCUGAUCCAGCCAUACCGCGUGGGUGAAGAAGGCCUUCGGGUUGUAAAGCCCUUUUGUUGGGAAAGAAAAGCAGCAGGUUAAUACCCCGCUGUUCUGACGGUACCCAAAGAAUAAGCACCGGCUAACUUCGUG
rnacentral:rRNA from 1 species